AGCUCCAAUAGCGUAUAUUUAAGUUGUUGCAGUUAAAAAGCUCGUAGUUGGAUCUUGGGUCGUAAAGGUCGGUCCGCCUACUCGGUGUGCACCUGCCCUUCCGUCCCUUUUGUCGGCGGCGUGCUCCUGGCCUUAAUUGGCUGGGUCGCGGCUCCGGCGCUGUUACUUUGAAAAAAUUAGAGUGCUCAAAGCAAGCUUAUGCUCUGAAUACAUUAGCAUGGAAUAACGUGAUAGGAGUCUGGUCCUAUUGUGUUGGCCUUCGGGACCGGAGUAAUGAUUAAUAGGGACUGUCGUGGGCAUUCGUAUUUCAUUGUCAGAGGUGAAAUUCUUGGAUUUAUGAAAGACGGACCACUGCGAAAGCAUUUGCCAAGGAUGUUUUCAUUAAUCAAGAACGAAAGUA
rnacentral:rRNA from 1 species